rnacentral:lncRNA from 1 species
CUCAGGUGAUCUGCCUGCCUCGGCCGCCCAAAGUGCUGGGAUUACAGGUAUGAGCCACCUCACCCAGAUAAUUUUUUUUUUUUUUUGAGACGGCAUCUCGCUCUGUCGCCCAGGCUGGAGUGCAGUGGUGCGAUCUCGGCUCACUGCAAGCUCCACCUCCCGGGUUCACACCAUUGUCCUGCCUCAGCCUCCCAGGUAGCUGGGACUACAGGCGCCCGCCACCACGCCUGGCUAAUUUUUUGUACUUUUUAGUAGAGAUGGAGUUUCUAUGUGUUAGCCAGGAUGGUCUCGAUCUCCUGACCUCGUGAUCCACCAGCCUCGGCCUCCCACAGUGCUGGGAUUACAGGCGUGAGCCACUGCGCCUGGCCCACAGCUUGCUUUUAUACAUUUUAAGGAGACAUGAGACAUCAAUCAAUAUAUGUAAGAAGUACAUUAGUUCUAUCCAGAAAGGUGGGGACAGCUCAAAGCAAGCCCCCACCCCCCGGGGGAGGUAGAUGGAGGCUGAGAGAUCAGACCUUGCGGGGCACUUGGGGACAUCAGGUGGGACAGGCCCCAGGUGCACCCUCAGUGCACUGGGCAGGUCUCAGGAUCCUGGCCUGGUAAUGUGGUCACUCCCUCGAGGACUGCUUUUGGGGCCCAGUCACCCACCCUGGGCCAUACACGUCCUUUCUCAGGACUGGACUUUCUCAGCUCCUGCAGAGGGCACUGCCUCUAGCCCAGGAGGGGCAGCCCUGUUGUGUAGCCCAAGCCCAUGCUCUACAGGGCCCUAGUGGUCCCUGCCCCACCCACACACCCCUCUUCUCCCAGGUCCUGUCCCUUCACAGGCGUCAGCCCACAGGGAGACCCUCUUCCUACCUUCCCUGUGUGUCUCCUGGGCUAAGACCAGGGGUGGGGUGGGGAGAGACACGGCUGGUCCUUCCCUAGGACUGCUAGGGAAGGAGGAGGACAGCUCCCGGCCCAGCACAGGCCCUCAGCUCUGUCUGGGUUGCCUUACAGUGAGACAAAGCUGCCAUCGAUCAGUGCCCUGGAGGCAAAGGUAAGACCUGCUGCCUGAGAGGCUGGUCCAGGGACAGGAGGACUUGGCAGGUGGUCAGCAGCCCGUGGGCACCAGCGAUGGUGAGUGGGAGAGACAGGCUGUCCCUGGGAGGGGUGGCAGUUCCUGCUGGACCUGACCCCAAGACUCUGUCCCCAUUGGUUGUUUGACCAAACUCCAAACUGAGAACCGCAGUCACGGCUCGGGGGUUGCUGUCUGCUUGCACCAGGACCCCACCUGGAGGCUAGUACUUGACCAAAGUCCAGUGUCUGUGGCCUGAGGAUGGCAUGUCCCAGGUCGUGAGGCCAGGUCACAGACGCCUGUUCAGUCAGAGGGUCUCAGUCCCCGGGGCCUGCCCUUUCCUGGUUCUUUUUGUGGUUCAGUCCCGUCAGGGCCUCGGAGCCCAGGAUACAGCAUCCAAAGGCUGCUUCAGGAAGCCUUGGUAGCUCCGCUAACUUCUGGUCAUAGUUGACAGCAAAGACGUCAGGAGAUGAGAGGCACAGAGAAAUGGCUCCAGAUGCUUCAAGACGGGCAGGGAUAUAGGAGUGGCAAGGAGGUGACAUGGGGAGGGAGGGCCCCCGUGACCGCUCUCUACAGAGUCAGGGGGAUGGGCUCCCAUGGCUGGGUCCUGGCACUGCCUGCCUCUCAGAGGGUGGGUGACACACUGUCCUCACCCUGGACAGCAGGUCUGGUCACCAGCUUUCCUGUUUGUCCCUGCAAACCUCAACUUGCUGGAGACAGUGUGAUGCCAGGGCAUGAGCCAGGACUAUCUCAGGGAUAGGGACACCCCCUGGCAAACCGAAGGAAGGAAUAGGUCAAGAUGAGAAUUCAUAACUCUGAAUCGUGGGAGGGAGGCCUGGUCCUAGGUAAACUGCACAUCCCCUGAAAAACCAACAAGUCAGAGACUGGAGACUUCCAGAAUCCUCAGGCUCCGAUCCUCCCUGGGGCUGCCCCAGACCCUGUUUCUUCAGAGUGUUCUGUCCCAAGUUGAUAGACAGCGUGUAUAAAGGCAUUCUCCAUAGAUGUGGGGCCAAGUGUGGUCACACUUCCUGGAUGUCGAGAAGGUGAAGGCCGAGAACUGGUGGAAAUACGAGGUAUGACCCUUCCGAAGUCAGCCAGAGGAGGACAAACAGGCCAGGCUGUGUUGAGAGCCCAAGCCUCCAGCUGGAGGGAACGCAGAGCCUGGGUUGAAGGUGGAGGGGGCAUGGUCAGGCGGACAUCCUGGGCAGAGACGGUGAUGCCAGCACCAAAGGUGAGCUGAGCUCCAGGACUAGUUGGAUUGUAAGGAACCAAGCCAGAGGAGGAGCUUUCUGCAGAAGGAAACCAACCUUCCUUCCUUCCUUCCUUCCUCCUGUCCUUUCCUUUCCUUUUUCCUUUCCUUUUUCCUUUCCUUUCCUUCCGGGCUGCCUGUGGACGACUGCCGUGUGGGGCAGCCAGUCUUCUCUCUGUUCAGAGGCUGCUUCCUCUUCCUGGCCCUGCCCUGGAGGUCAUGAAGAUGAAGGGAAAGAGGUCCCCCCUGGAACUUCCACCAGAUCAACCUGGAUGUCAGCCAUACACUAAGAAACCACAUGAUGUUUUGGCCACAAUGCAGUGUCAAUUAAGGCUUGCAGGGCUGGAGAGCCCUGGGGAGAUGGCGUGAACCAGAGGGAUGGGAGCUUCACCAGAGCAGAGGCAGGGGUCACCCAGGAGGGGUGACAGAGCUACCAAAAGCUUUCCAGGCCCAGGGAGCAGCUAGCACAAUAGACUGAGUGCCUUCCUGGUUGCAAGCCCUGGGCCUGGCUGGGAUAUGUGGGGCCGGAGCCCAGGUGGCUCCCGAGGAGACAGAGAGCAAUGAACAAAAUCAUGAGAAAUGGUGGAAAGUUCAGUAACCUACGGGAGGGCGGCAGGAUGAGGGGCUCGGGAGCCUUCCCAAGCCACACUGACGACACCAAAUGCCGAGACGAUGUGCGGUCCCGGGGACCUUUGUCCCUGCCAGGUGGGAAUGCGACAGGGCACAGCCCCUUUGGGAACCCGUUGGGCGGCUCUGCACGAAACUCGGUGGACUCGUGCCACAUGUCCCAGAAGAUUCUCAGAGACUGAUCCCACUGAUUUGAAAACUGAUGGCCAUGUAAAACCUGCAUGCCACGUCCACAGCUUGAUUCACCGUCACUCACAGUUGAAGGCCACCAAGACAAUCUUCAACCCGGGAAUAGUAAAAUCCACUUUCACCAAAACAUUUCAUAAAACUCAGUGGCCCUGAAGAGCUCACUGCUUAUUCUGCGCAUCAUCUGGACCUGGAAUUGGAUUCCUUGUUGGAACACGAUAGAGAGAACAAAACAGCAUCCGUGUGAACCCAAACCCUCUUUUCUCUCUUUCCUAG